GAUGGCGAAGGGGGUCGGGGUCGGCCUAUACAGCGGCAGGGGGCUCGGGGCAGGGCUCGAUGGCGGGUGGGGGUCUUGGGUCUGGGCUUCAUGGCAUAGGAUGGUCGGGGUCGGUGCUCGACCAUUUUCAGAAGGGAAAGGACUCCAAGAAUCUGGUAGUGGUUGAUUUCACUGCAUCAUGGUGAUGACCCUGUCGUGUCAUUGCCCCAAUCCUCACUGACCUGGCUAAGAAGAAUUCAAGUGUCAUAUUCGUGAAAGUUGAUGUUGAUGAGUUGCAGGAUGUUGCUAAGGAGUGGGAAAUCGAGGCAAUGCCAACCCUUUUGUUCCUCAAAGAAGGGAAAAUUAUUGACAAGAUUGCGGGAGCUAAGAAGGAUGAGCUUAUUGAUAAAGUUGCAAAGCAUGCAGCUGUGGCUGUUGCUUGACUUUGAUUAGUGUUUGGGACUAAAUAAAGAUCGGUAGCAUGAGGCUAUCCAAUUUGAUAAGAAAAAUACAACUUUUAUAUAAAUCAUUUUUGUGAUUGAAAACCACAUUCAUCCUUUUUAUUUCUUCUGCAACCUCAAGUUCUCUAUCUAGUUAUUUUAGUUUUGGUUUGACUUUAAUGGUGUUUAUUCUAUAUUGUAGGUGUACGCCCUGAUUUUACCACGGGCUGAUUAACGAGCUGAGAUACGGCCUAAUCAUGACUACCACGUGGACAUCCCCAAUACCGGAGCUGCCAUCGUGAGAUCCUACCUCCUUGGCUCGAGGUAACCCAAGGGUUCACCAAGAUUACUUAAUGACUAAGUCUAGACUCUGAAGGCCGCAGGUCGAGGUAAGCAUCCAGCUCAUGGUACGAGCUAGAGUUGGAGGCUGUGACCUUUUAUGAAGUCAACCACGCAAGGUAAACAUGCAUAUAUUAGACAUCACGUGUCUGAUAUAUCCCUGACUUCUUGGACACGCAACGUGAACGUGCGUAUUCAGACACCCACGACUGGGUUGGGCCGUGCAGCCCAUUAUCCCCUUACCUAUUGAUUUGACCACACUUACGUGUCAGGUUUAGGAAUUAAUCAUGAAUGUCACAGAGUUGACAUGAUAGAUAAGAAGGUCACGGGAUGACCUUCUUACCAACUCUCAGGUGCGUUCUCCUAUAAAUAUGGAGACCCUGGGAGUUACAAGGGGUUGGAUUCUAUUGUGUAAGAAAUACCCUGUAAAAGAAUACCAAGCAUAUAGCAAUAAUAUUGACUGGUGGAGUAGAAGGAUUUUAACCUUUGAACCACCUAAAAAAACGAAUUGUGUGUCACCAUUCCACUUCCAAGAUCAUUCAUCUAUUUCGGUUCAACUUAAGCAUUAAUCCCUUCCUCUUUCUUUUCUUAAUUACCUGUUGGCGAAGAACCGCGUCAACAGUAGGCUAAAACUCUACUUGGAUAUUUAAGAGAACCAAGAAAAUUAUAUAAGAGAACGAAGGCAACAAGAAAUUCUUCAAGUUGGGUAUUAUUUUCUUUCUUGCUUGUAAGAAUUAUGUACAUUGAGGAUUUGAUGUAUUAUUUACAUUGAGAAUAAUGAAUUUUUAUUAAGAAUUAUAAUGAAUUUUUAUUGAGAAUUAUUUAGUCU